rnacentral:rRNA from 1 species
UGGGGGAAUCUUCCACAAUGGACGCAAGUCUGAUGGAGCAACGCCGCGUGAGUGAAGAAGGUCUUCGGAUCGUAAAGCUCUGUUGUUGGUGAAGAAGGAUAGAGGCAGUAACUGGUCUUUAUUUGACGGUAAUCAACCAGAAAGUCACGGCUAACUACGUGCCAGCAGCCGCGGUAAUACGUAGGUGGCAAGCGUUGUCCGGAUUUAUUGGGCGUAAAGCGAGCGCAGGCGGAAUGAUAAGUCUGAUGUGAAAGCCCACGGCUCAACCGUGGAACUGCAUCGGAAACUGUCAUUCUUGAGUGCAGAAGAGGAGAGUGGAACUCCAUGUGUAGCGGUGGAAUGCGUAGAUAUAUGGAAGAACACCAGUGGCGAAGGCGGCUCUCUGGUCUGCAACUGACGCUGAGGCUCGAAAGCAUGGGUAGCGAACAGGAUUAGAUACC